GAGAUGUAAGCUCACAAGACACAUGUUUAUUGGUCAUGUUCCAGACAUUUGAUUGCUCAAUAAAAGGUGGAUUCCUUAAGAAGCCUCCCCGACAUGGGGCUUCAAAGCAGUGAAUGAAGGAAAUGAAAAACAGCCCUAUAAAGAAAGAAGGAAGGGAUGAAAAAGGCUGUGGAAGUUGGACAGAUGGG
rnacentral:lncRNA from 1 species